GUGUCAGGAUGGGGUACAGGUGAGGUGUGGGGUCCCGGUGUCAGGAUGGGGUACAGGUGAGGUGUGGGGUCCAGGUGUCAGGAUGGGGUACAGGUGUCAGGAUGGAGUACAGGUGAGGUGUUGGGUCCUGGU